rnacentral:rRNA from 1 species
CGGAGGAUCCGAGCGUUAUCCGGAUUUAUUGGGUUUAAAGGGUGCGUAGGCGGUUAUUAAGUCAGGGGUGAAAGACGGCAGCUUAACUGUCGCAGUGCCUUUGAUACUGAUGAACUUGAAUGUACUUGAGGUAGGCGGAAUGUGACAAGUAGCGGUGAAAUGCAUAGAUAUGUCACAGAACACCAAUUGCGAAGGCAGCUUACUAAAGUAUGAUUGACGCUGAGGCACGAAAGCGUGGGGAUCAAACAGGAUUAGAUACCCUGGUAGUCCACGCCCUAAACGAUGAACACUCGAUGUUGGCGAUAUACGGUCAGCGUCUAAGCGAAAGCGUUAAGUGUUCCACCUGGGGAGUACGCCCGCAAGGGUG